GAUCCCCUCAUUUGCUCUGAGAGGAGUUCUGCUGUCCCCGUGGAUCAAGGGCCUGCAGCCAGUGAUGAUCUGAUUCCUGUAAAUCAAGAGAUUCCUGCUGAAUCAGAGGAGAUGCCAGUGGUUAACAGGAUGAAGCGUAGUUGUGGCACUUGCUGUGUGAAUACUUCUAAAGGCAGAAUCUGCACAAGAUGCUGCGACAUCUGAUCCCUGUCUGUCUGUCUGGAUGGAUGGGAAUUCCUCUAUGCAGAAGUGUGACAGUCCACUGAGAUGCUGCCGCUGCCACACAAAUUCUAGAGAUGUAACCACAUGCAUUAUGUGCUCUGAUUGAUGGCAUAAACAUGAAAUAAAGUUUUCUGAUAUGA